rnacentral:lncRNA from 10 species
CCAAUCCUGAGCCAUGUGAUCUGCUUCCUUCUGGCCUCCAUGUCACAUGGAUUCAGGAAGAAAUCUGAGUUCUAAUAGUAAUAUUGGAGAUGCAGGGAGAACUUCUUUAUUCACAUAUUGCAUUGUUUUACAAAUGGAACCUGCGAGUCUAUGGAUGCCAUCUUUUUAACAUGGUCUGGAACUGAACCUACAAUAUUUCUGAGGUAUUCCUGUAAAAGAACAAUUCCAGGAUUCUUGUGAAAAUUGACUUUGCUUCUUUGAGAACAGCAUGGUGAGUCUACUAUCCUUGACUUUUCAUCAAUUUGUUUCAUCACUAAAGUAUUUCAAGUUGCUGUCUACGUCAAGGCAAGAAAGUGAGUAUGUUUUUGCAUUAGUUUAAUUGCCAUCCAGUAAAUAGAGUAACUAAUUUAAGAAAAUUUGAUAUACAAAUAUUCAAUUCAUGAAACAGAUACAUUUUGAGGAUGUUUAGCACUUUGAAAAAUUACUCAUGAUUUUAUAAAAUAAUUCACCCCAUUUUAAAAAAUAUAGCCAAUUUCCUUACUGAAGUUAAUAUAGAUUUAUUUGCACAGAAAUUUUAAGGAAAACCUUUAUUACGAAUAAUGAGGUACAUCUUUAUAGCAUACUUUCUUAUAAAUGGGACUUCCAAAAUACAAUUGUGAUAAACAAAGUGUUUUAAACUUACCUGCUAGUCUAUUAAACUGAAUUUUCAACACACUCCUUCACCUAACUCAGACACAAAAUUUAAGAAAAACAGAUUUUUUAAGAUUAAGAGAGUACGAAAAAUGAGAAACAUUAUUUAUGUAAAUGAAGGUAAUUUCAAAGUUCUCUGUAGCAUUUAGAAAUUUCUGUGGAUAGAAAUAUGAAUAGAAACGAACACCCUGAAGUACGCACUUACAAACCUCAAAGAAACAGUAUUUCUUUGCUUGCUAUCCUGCUGUUGUUUGACUUUUCUUAUUUUAUCCCUACUCCUCAUCUUCAUUAAUGCUACAUAAUGUCACUACGUAUUUAGAAUAGCAUUCAAUUCUAGUGAUAUUAGUAACAUCGGGUACUAAUAAUAUCCAGCACUUUGUUCAUACUCAUAAACACAUCUGUCAGCAACAUCUGGGGGUUGUUAGAAUCAUCCUUUCUAGGGCACUGAAAAGGAGGGUCUUACUUGCUCCAAAUACAUUCCUCUAUUACCAUCAUGUCCCCCUAUAAAAUGUCAGCACCUUAACCCCUGAUAUAAAUAAGCUACUGGGGGAAAAAAGGUUUUGUUGCUUGUACUGUUAUUGGUGUUGCUUGACGGAACAGAGAGAAUUUGAAAUUAAAUUCUGGUAAAGUAUGUAAAAUGGUUAUGUAUAGUGUCCUUACUUUGGGAAAAAACAAAAUAAAACAACAACGCACAAGAGAGGCAAAAAGAAAUUAAUAGAAAAUAUCCCAAAUAUUAACAAUAGGCCUACAAUUUCUCUACUACUGUAGGUAUGAUUUAGAAAAAAAUGAGUAUUUCAGUAGCCCCAGGAUUUGCUCUGAGUCCUAAUAUACUUGAGAUAAAGGUGUUCUUGAAACAGUAAAUGCAUUCAUUUAGGCUUGUGUUUCUCCAAAUCUAUCUGGCCCAUUCCUAAAUUCCCAAAAACCAGGUUUAGGAGUGAACAGGGGCUUAGUGCUCCUGGCUUUUCUGAAAAUUAAAAUCUAGUAUUUCAAAUUGAGUUCUGAGAUCACAUAAUAAAUAUGUUUUUAAAAUCUACUAACUUUAAUGUAAUUUAGUCUAAAGAAUCAAAUACAGCACAUUUUAUAUUUUGCACACUUCUCUUGCUUUAGAAGAAGGGACUCUUAUGAAGCAUACCAAACUCAUUCUCUCUCAAGGUAUAGGACUUCAGAAGUGGCAAUUGUAACCCCUGUAUAUGCAUGUUUUAUAACUUGCUCUUUUUAUGUUCUGAAAGGCAGUUACAAUGCAGUGGUGAAGGGAAUGGCUCUGAUGGACACAUCACAGCUCCAUCAUGAGCUGUAUUACCUUAGCCAGUUAGUGCUGGUCUCAGUUUCAUCAUAUGUGAAAUGGGGAUAAAAACAGGAGCUACUUCAGAGGGCUGUAAAGAGCAGUACAUAAAUGUUAACAGGUGUAUAGGAAUAGAACAGAGGCUGGCAUUGUUAUUGCUGUUAUUCCUUAUUUUUGAUGUUUGGUAAUGAGAAACUGAGUGCCAUAACAUUAUUCAGUUUGGGGCCAAUGAUAAAUCACAUGCAAUUUCUGAGGUUCGCAGAGUAAUUUUUGAAAUAAAAUGAACUUAGCAUUUUUCUAUUGAUUUGAAAUAAAUGCUAAUUUUAUGUGGUGAAGAAACUUCCCGUAGUGGCUUAAAUAGACACAAGCAAUGUAAAAUUUAAGCUUUAAGUUUCUAGUAUCAAUUUUAUGUAAGUUGCGAACACUUUCCUUGUAAUAGUUCAGUGAAUUGUUAUAAGCUAAAUUACCUUGCAAACAAUAGAAAGAAAAACAAGAAAUAAGAAUGUUUUUCCUAUAGGCAAAACUAUAUAUCUAUAUCUGCUGAUAAAAUUAAUAAUGAUUUUUGAGUGAUUUAAUUUUAAAGAAAUAUAUAAAGAUUACUGGUG